rnacentral:rRNA from 1 species
UUAGCAUGGAAUAAUGGAAUAGGACGUAUGGUUCUAUUUUGUUGGUUUCCAGGACCAUCGUAAUGAUUAAUAGGGACGGUCGGGGGCAUCAGUAUUCAGUUGUCAGAGGUGAAAUUCUUGGAUUAACUGAAGACUAACUACUGCGAAAGCAUUUGCCAAGGACGUUUUCAUUAAUCAAGAACGAAAGUUAGGGGAUCGAAGAUGAUCAGAUACCGUCGUAGUCUUAACCAUAAACUAUGCCGACUAGGGAUCGGGUGGCGCUAUUUUGCCCACUCGGCACCUUACGAGAAAUCAAAGUUUUUGGGUUCUGGGGGGAGUAUGGUCGCAAGGCUGAAACUUAAAGGAAUUGACGGAAGGGCACCACCAGGAGUGGAGCCUGCGGCUUAAUUUGACUCAACACGGGGAAACUCACCAGGUCCAGACGUAAUAAGGAUUGACAAGUUAGAGACUUCUCUUGAUCUUACGGGUGGUGGUGCAUGGCCGUUUUUAGUCCUUGGAGUGAUUUGUCUGCUUAAUUGCGAUAACGGACGAGACCUUAACCUGCUAAAUAGGGCUGCGAGCAUCUGCUCGUGGGCUCUUCUUAGAGGGACUAUGGGUAUCAAACCCAUGGAAGUUUGAGGCAACAACAGGUCUGUGAUGCCCUUAGACGUUCUGGGCCGCACGCGCGCUACACUGACGGAGCCAGCAAGUAUAUCCUUGGUCGAGAGGCCCGGGUAAUCUCGUGAAACUCCGUCGUGCUGGGGAUAGAGCAUUGCAAU